rnacentral:rRNA from 1 species
GAUGAACGCUGGCGGCGUGCCUAAUACAUGCAAGUCGAGCGAACAGACGAGGAUCUUGCUCCUCUGACGUUAGCGGCGGACGGGUGAGUAACACGUGGAUAACCUACCUAUAAGACUGGGAUAACUUCGGGAAACCGGAGCUAAUACCGGAUAAUAUAUUGAACCGCAUGGUUCAAUAGUGAAAGACGGUUUUGCUGUCACUUAUAGAUGGAUCCGCGCCGCAUUAGCUAGUUGGUAAGGUAACAGCUUACCAAGGCAACGAUGCGUAGGCGACCUGAGAGCGGGAACGGCCACACUGGAACUGAGCCACGGCACAGGCUCCUAGUGGAGGCGGCAGCUGGGACCGUUGCGCAAUGGGCGAAAGCCUGAAGAAGCGACGCCACGUGAGUGAUGCGACUCUUCGGAUCGUAUGACUCUGUCAUUAGGGAAGACCAAAUGUGUAAGUAACUAUGCACGUAGUGACGGUACCUAAUCAGAAAGCCACGGCUAACUACGUG